AACUAUAAUACCUACGCGUCUGACGUAACACUCGGAACACGCGGUCGGCCAUGUUUGAAUCCUUGGCCAGUAGCGCUCGAGCGCCGGUGCGAGACGGGAGUGUCCACGAGCCAAACCAGUUUUUCGCGGUAAAAAAUGCCCCGAAAACGGAAGCAUGUUACGGAGAGAACCUCAAAAAGCAUGUUUGCCUAUCAAUAGGCUUAUGAGGAAGUGAUCUCUGGAAAGUCCUUAAGAAAAGCGGCCCAAAUGUUUGAUUUGGAUCAUGUCUCUUUGGCGAGAUACAAAAAAAAGAGAAGCUGCGCCAGAUACGACACCUAUAGAAGAUAUAAAAAUGGGUUACAAUUCUGUAACAAAUUAAAAUUCAAAUUAACAUAUUAAGGAACAUGUUUUAUUUUAAUUUGGCAUAUCGCCAUAGUAAUAUUUUUGUUUAUAUGUAGAGAGAGAGAGAGACGCAAAGCUUGUUACAGAAUGCAAUCAAAACAUUUCAUUUUGUAGCAUGUCUUGUCACCCACUCUCUCUAUUUUUUUAAAUUGUAUAUUUUUAAAAUUUUGUUUAAUGGUUAUUAAUAAUAUAAACUUUGUUUUAUAUUACAUAAAAUACAUAAUUUGUUAUUUUAAUUUGACAUAUCGCCAUAUGGUAAUAUUUUUGUUUAUGUGUAGAGAGAGACACAAAACUUGUUACAGAAUGUUUUAUAAUAAUAUGUUGAUUAGAUAUGUUUGAUACCUAUAUAAUAAUAAUACAUUUUAGCAACAACCGACUGCUGCCAACCGGCUGAUUAAACAGGUCGGCCACUGCUAAAAUUUAUAUCAGAGAGAGUUAAGGAUUUUUUUUUGAUAGGCAUAUCGCCAUGUUUUUGUUUACGUAAUAAAACAAUUUAUACUGAUUAUUUUA